rnacentral:rRNA from 1 species
ACCCCGCACAAGCGGUGGAUCAUGUUGUUUAAUUCGAUGAUACGCGAAGAACCUUACCAGGUCUUGACAUCCCCCGCGAUGCUUUAGAGAUAAAGCGGAGGUAUUCGGGGAGACAGGUGGUGCAUGGUUGUCGUCAGCUCGUGUCGCGAGAUGUGGGUUAAGUCCCGCAACGAGCGCAACCCCUAUUGCUAGUUACCAUCAUUAAGUUGGGGACUCUAGCGAGACUGCCAGUGAUAAACUGGAGGAAGGUGGGGAUGACGUCAAAUCAUCAUGCCCCUUAUGACCUGGGCUACAAACGUGAUACAAUGGCUGGAACAAAGGGAUGCGAAGCAGUGAUGUGGAGCGAAACCCAUAAAAACAGUCUCAGUUCGGAUUGAAGUCUGCAACUCGACUUCAUGAAGUCGGAAUCGCUAGUAAUCGCGGAUCAGAACGCCGCGGUGAAUACGUUCUCGGGGUUU